rnacentral:rRNA from 1 species
ACGGGUGAGUAACGCGUAGGCAACCUGCCCCAUACAGAGGGAUAGCCUCGGGAAACCGGGAUUAAAACCUCAUAACGCGAGGGAUUCACAUGGACCUCUCGCCAAAGAUUUAUCGGUAUGGGAUGGGCCUGCGUCUGAUUAGCUAGUUGGUGGGGUAACGGCCUACCAAGGCGACGAUCAGUAGCCGACCUGAGAGGGUAAUCGGCCACAUUGGAACUGAGACACGGUCCAAACUCCUACGGGAGGCAGCAGUGGGGAAUAUUGCACAAUGGGCGAAAGCCUGAUGCAGCAACGCCGCGUGAGCGAUGAAGGCCUUUGGGUCGUGAAGCUCUGUCCUUGGGGAAGAAUAAAUGACGGUACCCUUGGAGGAAGCCCCGGCUAACUACGUGCCAGCAGCCGCGGUAAUACGUAGGGGGCAAGCGUUAUCCGGAAUUAUUGGGCGUAAAGAGUGCGUAGGUGGUUUUGUAAGCGCGGGGUGAAAGGCAAUGGCUCAACUAUUGUAAGCCCUGCGAACUGCAAGACUUGAGUGCAGGAGAGGAAAGUGGAAUUUUUAGU